CUUUGCAAUGGUGCAAAAUAGAGGGCUGACCCACAACGUGUCCUACAGCUGCACCAGGCGCAGCAAACCCAAACCAUUGCAUUUGCAAUGGUGCAAUACCCAAAGAGCUGACCCACAUAUAUCCUACAGACGCACCGGGUGCAGGAAACCCACCUCACUGACUGUGCAAUGGUGCAAAACCCAAAGGGUCAAUGCAACAAACCCACCCCACUGGCUUUGCAAUGGUGCAAAACCCAAAGGAACGACCCACAGGUGUCCUACAGCCACACUGGGUGCAGCAAACACACCCCACUGCUGUUGCAGUGCUGCAGAAUAUCAAAGGCCAAUGCAACAAACCCACCCCAUUGGCUUUGCAGUGGUGCAACACCCAAAGGCCCAACCCACACAUGUCCUACAGCCACACUGGGUGCAGCAAACACACCCCACUGACGUUGCAAUGACACAGAACCCAAAGGGCCGAUGCAACAAACCCACCCCAGUGCCUUUGCAAUGGUGCAACACCCAAAGGAACGACCCACAGGUGUCCUACAGCCACACGGUGCAGCAAACACACCCCACUGCCGUUGCAGUGCUGCAGAAUAUCAAAGGCCAAUGCAACAAACCCACCCCAUUGCCUUUGCAGUGGUGCAGUACCCGAAGAGCGGACCCACAUAUAUCCCACAGGCACACCGGGUGCAGCAAACACACUCCAUUGGCUUUGCAACGGUGCAAAACCCAAAGGUCUGACCCACAACGUGUCCUACAGACACACUGCAUGCAGCAAACACACCCCACUGCACUGCAAUGGUGCAAAACCCAAAGGACCAAUGCAGCAGACCGCCCCACAGGCACUGCAAUGGUGCAAAACCCAAAGAGCCGAUGCAACAAACCCAAACCAUUCGCUCUGCAGUUUAGGAUGGAGAGAUUGAUGCACCCGGGGCAGACAGUGACCUCCUCAGCCCCACACCUAUGGGGCUGCCGCUGUCCAAGCAUCAGCACUAUGGGGUUGGAUCGCUCCUAUGGUGCCGAUGUCCCCAUUCCGGCUGCCAGGACUGCCGCUCUUCGGACACAGCACCGCAGAGGACGGUUCCCACAGUGCACCCAUUGGGAUCCACACC
ensembl:lncRNA